rnacentral:rRNA from 1 species
AGAGCGAACGCUGGCGGCAGGCCUAAAACAUGCAAGUCGAACGAUCCUUCGGGAUAGUGGCGGACGGGUGAGUAACACGUGGGAACGUGCCCUUUGGUUCGGAACAAGCCGGGGAAACCUGGUCUAAUGCCGAAUGUGCCCUACGGGGGAAAGAUUUAUCGCCAUUGGAGCGGCCCGCGUCUGAUUAGCUUGUUGGUGAGGUAAAGGCUCACCAAGGCAACGAUGCGUAGCCGACCUGAGAGGGUGAUCGGCCACAUUGGAACUGAGACACGGUCCAGACUCCUACGGGAGGCAGCAGUGGGGAAUAUUGCACAAUGGGCGAAAGCCUGAUGCAGCAACGCCGCGUGAGUGAUGAAGGCCUUCGGGUUGUAAAACUCUGUCUUUGGGGACGAUAAUGACGGUACCCAAGGAGGAAGCCACGGCUAACUACGUGCCAGCAGCCGCGGUAAUACGUAGGUGGCAAGCGUUGUCCGGAAUUACUGGGCGUAAAGGAUGUGUAGGCGGAUAUUUAAGUGAGAUGUGAAAUCCCCGGGCUUAACCUGGGGGCUGCAUUUCAAACUGGGUAUCUAGAGUGCAGGAGAGGAAAGCGGAAUUCCUAGUGUAGCGGUGAAAUGCGUAGAUAUUAGGAAGAACAUCAGUGGCGAAGGCGGCUUUCUGGACUGUAACUGACGCUGAGACAUGAAAGCGUGGGGAGCAAACAGGAUUAGAUACCCUGGUAGUCCACGCCGUAAACGAUGAGUACUAGGUGUAGGAGGUAUCGACUCCUUCUGUGCCGUCGUUAACACAAUAAGUACUCCGCCUGGGAAGUACGGUCGCAAGAUUAAA